rnacentral:lncRNA from 1 species
UUAGCCCUUUGCAUAAACUGUACCAUCCAUCUGUUUUUCUACCACCUCCCUUCUCAUGCUUCGCCAACUGAGUCCUAAUCAUCCUUCAGGUCUCAACUUAAAUCUUACUUCUUCAAGAAUAUGUUCCUCACCCUUUAAACUAGGUUAAAUCUAAACUAGGUUAAAUCACUUUUCUAUAUUCCUUUGUCCCCUGUAUACCACCCUUUGUAAUAUUUAACUCCCUUGAAAUUGCUUUUUCAAUGUCAUCCUGUGAGGGCAAGGAUCAUUUUUGUCUUCCUAGUACCUGGCCCAAGGCUACACAGGAAAUUCUGGAUCCUUUAGGAUCUUAGCACUAUCUCUGGCUCUCUGUCUCUUUGGUGAAUUCAUUCUAUAGACUUCACUCUCAUUUGCGUGGUUGUCUCAUUUUGACGUGGCAACAUCUGGAGCCAUUGCCCAUGCUGCACUCCACUGCUUGAGGAUGUCUACGCUUUCCACUAAAUCCAGAGCUUGCAUUUUGGGAGGAGGAGCAGAGAAAAGGAUGGACCCCCUGGGUGUGGACUCACUAGAUCCUAAAAGGCAAAGGGCAACACUUGGACGAAGAAAGCGAACUUUCCUAGAAGCCACAGCAGAUUUCCACUUACAUCUCAUUGGCCACAACAGGGUCAAAUGGCCAUUCCUGACUAGAAGGUAGGAAGGGAGAAAAAGUCGGAUGAGCCAACAAAUGGCGUCCAUCCCUAUGGCUAUACAAUUUUCCUACAUCCCU